rnacentral:rRNA from 1 species
CCUACGGGAGGCAGCAGUGAGGAAUAUUGGUCAAUGGACGCAAGUCUGAACCAGCCAUGCCGCGUGCAGGAUGACGGCUCUAUGCGUUGUAAACUGCUUUUGUACGAGGGUAAACCCCGAUACGUGUAUCGGGUUUAAAGUAUCGUACGAAUAAGGAUCGGCUACCUCCGUGCCAGCAGCCGCGGUAAUACGGAGGAUCCGACCGUUAUCCGGAUUUAUUGGGUUUAAAGGGUGCGUAGGCGGUUUGAUAAGUUAGAGGUGAAAUGUCGGGGCUCAACCCCGAAACUGCCCCUAAUACUGUUGGACUAGAGAAUAGUUGCGGUAGGCGGAAUGUAUGGUGUAGCGGUGAAAUGCUUAGAGAUCAUACAGAACACCGAUUGCGAAGGCAGCUUACCAAACUAUAUCUGACGUUGAGGCACGAAAGCGUGGGUAUCGAACAGGAUUAGAUACCCCUGUAGUC